AGAUGGAAUAGAAUAUUGGUACAAGUUAAGAAAAUGACACAUAAGACAAGGAAAAUUCAGUUGGAAGAGAGAAUUUGUUAAAGUAACCAAUUUACCAACUUGAUAUAGAGGAUAGUUACAUUGUAACAUAAUCUGUUGUAAAAAAUUGACUUUUAGAUAUAAAUAGUGAAAGACGAAAAGGGCAAAAGUACUUUGCAUGCUAAUUAAUGUGAUUCAUUCAAUCUUCUUCUCUCUUGUACUUUGAGUCUUUCUCUUUCUCAUCUCUUCUGUUUUCUAAAUUGACAAACGAUUCCUAUCAUACAUGUUAUAUCAUGCCUCCAACAUUUAUGAAAGAAGAAGUUUAAGUAGUGAUAUAAAUUAUCAGGAAUUUGAAAAAGUAAUGAUGGUGGUAGGUGAAUUUGAAAUCUAAAUUCGUGUUUCAGUUUUGGAUAUUGAUUCAUCAGUGUGUCAAUAAAGUAUGGGUGUGUAGCUCGUUCAUUGAACAUGUCANCUCGUUCAUUAACAUGUCACACUUCCAAUCCGGAACGGUGGAAACAUUAGGGGCGGAGGACAUCAUGUACAGUAUCACAACAAUGCAUAAUAGUAAUCAAAGUACACUAACCAUUGUAUUAACAAAGUAUAAGGUUUACAUCUGUGUUCAAACCAUUGUAUAUUAACACAAAAAAGUACAAGUUAAAAGACAUGAGUCUAUAAAGCUCCGUAUUCUCAACACAUGUGGCUACCUGUUUAUUGAUUUCUUAAGAAUACAAGUAGUUUUGAAAAGACUAUCAACAAUUAAGGCGGUGAGUUCAUAAACAUGUUAGUAACUAAAAUGUGUUUUCUUGUUCCUUGAUAAUGUAAAUAUGUUUUUCCCAGAAAAUCCUAUAUUUUCUCUUGUAGUAUG
rnacentral:lncRNA from 1 species